rnacentral:rRNA from 1 species
UACUCGGCAAAGCUCUGGAGAUAGAGUGGAGGUUAUCCGGGAUACAGGUGGUGCAUGGUUGUCGUCAGCUCGUGUCGUGAGAUGUUGGGUUAAGUCCGCAACGAGCGCAACCCUUGUCUUUAGUUACCAUCAUUCAGUUGGGGACUCUAGAGAGACUGCCGGUGAUAAACCGGAGGAAGGUGGGGGAUGACGUCAAAUCAUCAUGCCCCUUAUGGCCUGGGCUACAAACGUAAUACAAUGGCGUAUACAAAGGGAUGCGAAAGGGCGACCUGGAGCAAAACUCACAAAGUACGUCUCAGUUCAGAUUGGAGUCUGCAACUCGACUCCAUGAAGGCGGAAUCGCUAGUAAUCGCGGAUCAGCCUGCCGCGGUGAAUACGUUCUCGGGGUUU